rnacentral:rRNA from 1 species
GGGGAAUAUUGCGCAAUGGAGGAAACUCUGACGCAGCAACGCCGCGUGAAGGAAGAAGGCCUUCGGGUUGUAAACUUCUUUGAUCGGGGACGAAAAUGACGGUACCCGAGGAACAAGCCACGGCUAACUACGUGCCAGCAGCCGCGGUAAUACGUAGGUGGCGAGCGUUGUCCGGAAUUACUGGGUGUAAAGGGCGUGUAGGCGGGGGAGCAAGUCGGAUGUGAAAUCCCGAGGCUUAACUUCGGAGCUGCAUCUGAAACUGUUUCUCUUGAGUGCUGGAGAGGAAAGUGGAAUUCCCAGUGUAGCGGUGAAAUGCGUAGAGAUUGGGAGGAACACCAGUGGCGAAGGCGGCUUUCUGGACAGUAACUGACGCUGAGGCGCGAAAGCGUGGGGAGCAAAC